GAUCAUGGCUCAGGACAAACGCUGGCGGAAUGAUUAGGCAUGCAAGUCGCACGAUCACUUCGGUGGUAGUGGCGGACGGGUGAGUAACACGUGGGUAACCUGCCUCGUAUGGGGAAUAACUCGCCGAAAGGCGAGCUAAUACCGCAUAACAUCCCGAUGAGAAUCCGGGUAGUAAAAGCUCCGGCGCUAUGAGAGGGGCCCGCGGCCGAUUAGCUUGUUGGUGGGGUAACGGCCUACCAAGGCGACGAUCGGUAGCUGGUCUGAGAGGAUGGUCAGCCACACGGGGACUGAGAUACGGCCCCGACUCCUACGGGAGGCAGCAGCUAAGAAUCUUGCGCAAUGGGCGAAAGCCCUGACGCAGCAAUUCCGCGUGGAGGACGAAGGCCCUCGGGUCGUAAACUCCUUUUGCGAGGGAAGAAGUUCUGACGGUACCUCGCGAAUAAGCCACGGCUAACUACGUGCCAGCCGCCGC
rnacentral:rRNA from 1 species